rnacentral:rRNA from 1 species
CCAGACUCCUACGGGAGGCAGCAGUAGGGAAUUUUCGUCAAUGGGCGCAAGCCUGAACGAGCAAUGCCGCGUGAGUGAGGAAGGUCUUCGGAUCGUAAAGCUCUGUUGCAGGUCAGAAAAGAAGGGAAGAGGAAAUGCUUUUCUUUUGAUAGUAACCUGCCAGAAAGUCACGGCUAACUACGUGCCAGCAGCCGCGGUAAUACGUAGGUGGCAAGCGUUAUCCGGAUUUAUUGGGUUUAAAGGGUGCGUAGGCGGUCCGUUAAGUCAGCGGAAAAAUUGCGGGGCUCAACCCCGUCGAGCCGUUGAAACUGGCAGACUUGAGUUGGCGAGAAGUACGCGGAAUGCGCGGUGUAGCGGUGAAAUGCAUAGAUAUCGCGCAGAACUCCGAUUGCGAAGGCAGCGUACCGGCGCCACACUGACGCUGAGGCACGAAAGCGUGGGGAUCGAACAGGAUUAGAUACCCGUGUA